rnacentral:lncRNA from 1 species
AUCAGGCUGGCCAUGACCUUUAAUCUCUGUAAGACCUCCUAGAAUCCUGUUUUCCCUAAGUCAACAGCCCACCCUGCCUGUGGAGUUAUAGAAACAUGGAUAGCCAGCCUCAGCUCCAGGGCUUCCGGGUUUCCAGACUUCCGAAGGGCUGUCAGGAGCCUCCUCACUUACCUUGCAGCCCUAGGAUUCCUGGCAGUUUCAUAAGAACUCCACAGCUGGAAUGCAGCUGUUUGGGGUGGAGCAAGCAGAACUCUUGGGUUUCUCUAUGUAGCCCUAGCUGUCCUGGAACUCACUCUGUAGAUAAGGCUGGACUCGAACUCUCCUGCCUCCGCCUCCCAAGUGCUGGGAUUAAAGGUAUGCGCUGCCUCCACUGCAGCCGCCACCACCACCACCACUUGGCCACGUGUUCAGUUCUUAUCUCUAUUUUACAGUUCACAGAUGAUCUGAGGAACCAGUUGGCCCUCAGAGAUUAGUUGCUGG